rnacentral:rRNA from 1 species
GACGAACGCUGGCGGCGUGCCUAAUACAUGCAAGUAGAACGCUGAAGAGAGGAGCUUGCUCUUCUUGGAUGAGUUGCGAACGGGUGAGUAACGCGUAGGUAACCUGCCUUGUAGCGGGGGAUAACUAUUGGAAACGAUAGCUAAUACCGCAUAACAAUGGAUGACACAUGUCAUUUAUUUGAAAGGGGCAAUUGCUCCACUACAAGAUGGACCUGCGUUGUAUUAGCUAGUAGGUGAGGUAAUGGCUCACCUAGGCGACGAUACAUAGCCGACCCGAGAGGGUGAUCGGCCACACUGGGACUGAGACACGGCCCAGACUCCUACGGGAGGCAGCAGUAGGGAAUCUUCGGCAAUGGGGGCAACCCUGACCGAGCAACGCCGCGUGAGUGAAGAAGGUUGUCGGAUCGUAAAGCUCUGUUGUAAGUCAAGAACGGGUGUGAGAGUGGAAAGUUCACACUGUGACGGUAGCUUACCAGAAAGGGACGGCUAACUACGUG